rnacentral:rRNA from 1 species
AGACACGGCCCAGACUCCUACGGGAGGCAGCAGUGGGGAAUAUUGCGCAAUGGGCGAAAGCCUGACGCAGCAACGCCGCGUGGGUGAUGAAGGUCUUCGGACUGUAAAACCCUGUCGUCAGGGACGAAGGUUGGGGGGUUAAUAACCCUUUAGCUUGACGGUACCUGGAGAGGAAGCCCCGGCUAACUCUGUGCCAGCAGCCGCGGUAAUACAGAGGGGGCAAGCGUUAUUCGGAAUUAUUGGGCGUAAAGGGCGCGUAGGCGGUUUUUUAAGUCAGAUGUGUAAUCCCCGAGCUUAACUUGGGAACUGCAUCUGAGACUGGAAGGCUAGAGUACUGGAGAGGGUGGUGGAAUUCCUCGUGUAGCGGUGAAAUGCGUAGAGAUGAGGAGGAACACCAGUGGCGAAGGCGGCCACCUGGACAGUAACUGACGCUGAGGCGCGAAAGUGUGGGUAGCAAACAGGAUUAGAUACCCUGGUAGUCCACGCUGUAAACGAUGAACACUUGGUGUGGAGGGAGUUGACCCCUUCCGUGCCGGAGCUAACGCGUUAAGUGUUCCGCCUGGGGAGUACGGUCGCAAGGCUGAA